rnacentral:rRNA from 1 species
UAUGUACAUAUUAAUGAAAUUUUCAAUAUAAUAUUUUAAUUUAUAUUUACUAAUAAAUCCGUCUUAGCAAGUGUAUUACAAUAAAUAGUCUGAUUAUUAUAAUAUAUUAUUGUAGUUCAUUUUUUCUUAAAAAAACUGCACUAUGACCUGAUGUUUGGAAAUUUUUCUUUUGAUAAUUUUUUAAAUAAAAUCAAAUACGGUGGUAUACAAGAGAUUUUUAAGUAAGAUAAAUUGUGUAGUGUCCAUUUAAAAACAAACUCCUUUAUAAAAAUUAAUACCGUCAAAUUUUUUGGUUUGAGCUCUCUUGGGAUAGUAUAGAUAAGUAGAAUAGCAGGGUAUCUAAUCCUGGUUUUUAAUUACUAAAUAAAAUUAUAUUAAUUAAUAUUAUAAAUUUCACUUAGAAAAUUAAUUAUUAGAAUUUUUAUACCCAAUUAUAAUUAUUUAUAAUAACGUUUAACCGCUGCUGCUG